GUCAGACUUUGAUUUUGGUUGGUGAGACUGGUAGUGGUAAAACUACUCAGAUUCCUCAAUUUGUCUUAGAAGCCGUUGACCUGGAUAGUCCAGAUAAACGAAAGAAGAUGAUGGUUGCAUGCACUCAGCCUCGUAGGGUGGCAGCAAUGUCAGUUUCUAGACGUGUUGCUGAAGAGAUGGAUGUGACUAUUGGAGAAGAGGU
rnacentral:misc_RNA from 1 species